rnacentral:piRNA from 1 species
CCAUCUACGGAGAGAAAUUUGAGG